rnacentral:rRNA from 1 species
UACGGGGGGGGCAAGCGUUGUUCGGAUUUACUGGGCGUAAAGGGAGUGUAGGCGGUUGGCCAAGUCGGAUGUGAAAGCUUCACCACUCAACGGGAAGAGGUCAUCCGAAACUGGUCGGCUAGAGUAGGGUAGAGGCAAGCGGAAUUCCUGGUGUAGCGGUGGAAUGUGUAGAUAUCAGGAAGAACAUCGGUGGCGAAGGCGGCUUGCUGGGCCCUUACUGACGCUGAGGAGCGAAAGCAUGGGGAGCGAACAGG